rnacentral:rRNA from 2 species
GGGGGACGGAGAAGGCUAUGUUGGCCGGGCGACGGUUGUCCCGGUUUAAGCGUGUAGGUGUGUGUUCCAGGUAAAUCCGGUUCACUUUAACACUGAGGCGUGAUGACGAGGCACUACGGUGCUGAAGCAACAAAUGCCCUGCUUCCAGGAAAAGCCUCUAAGCAUCAGGUAACAUCAAAUCGUACCCCAAACCGACACAGGUGGUCAGGUAGAGAAUACCAAGGCGCUUGAGAGAACUCGGGUGAAGGAACUAGGCAAAAUGGUGCCGUAACUUCGGGAGAAGGCACGCUGACACGUAGGUGAAGUGAUUUACUCAUGGAGCUGAAGUCAGUCGAAGAUACCAGCUGGCUGCAACUGUUUAUUAAAAACACAGCACUGUGCAAACACGAAAGUGGACGUAUACGGUGUGACGCCUGCCCGGUGCCGGAAGGUUAAUUGAUGGGGUCAGCGCAAGCGAAGCUCCUGAUCGAAGCCCCGGUAAACGGCGGCCGUAACUAUAACGGUCCUAAGGUAGCGAAAUUCCUUGUCGGGUAAGUUCCGACCUGCACGAAUGGCGUAAUGAUGGCCAGGCUGUCUCCACCCGAGACUCAGUGAAAUUGAACUCGCUGUGAAGAUGCAGUGUACCCGCGGCAAGACGGAAAGACCCCGUGAACCUUUACUAUAGCUUGACACUGAACAUUGAGCCUUGAUGUGUAGGAUAGGUGGGAGGCUUUGAAGCGUGGACGCCAGUCUGCGUGGAGCCGACCUUGAAAUACCACCCUUUAAUGUUUGAUGUUCUAACGUGGACCCGUAAUCCGGGUUGCGGACAGUGUCUGGUGGGUAGUUUGACUGGGGCGGUCUCCUCCUAAAGAGUAACGGAGGAGCACGAAGGUUGGCUAAUCCUGGUCGGACAUCAGGAGGUUAGUGCAAUGGCAUAAGCCAGCUUGACUGCGAGCGUGACGGCGCGAGCAGGUGCGAAAGCAGGUCAUAGUGAUCCGGUGGUUCUGAAUGGAAGGGCCAUCGCUCAACGGAUAAAAGGUACUCCGGGGAUAACAGGCUGAUACCGCCCAAGAGUUCAUAUCGACGGCGGUGUUUGGCACCUCGAUGUCGGCUCAUCACAUCCUGGGGCUGAAGUAGGUCCCAAGGGUAUGGCUGUUCGCCAUUUAAAGUGGUACGCGAGCUGGGUUUAGAACGUCGUGAGACAGUUCGGUCCCUAUCUGCCGUGGGCGCUGGAGAACUGAGGGGGGCUGCUCCUAGUACGAGAGGACCGGAGUGGACGCAUCACUGGUGUUCGGGUUGUCAUGCCAAUGGCACUGCCCGGUAGCUAAAUGCGGAAGAGAUAAGUGCUGAAAGCAUCUAAGCACGAAACUUGCCCCGAGAUGAGUUCUCCCUGAGACUUUAGGUCUCCUGAAGGAACGUUGAAGACGACGACGUUGAUAGGCCGGGUGUGUAAGCGCAGCGAUGCGUUGAGCUAACCGGUACUAAUGAACCGUGAGGCUUAACCUUACAAC